rnacentral:lncRNA from 1 species
GCAACGGGUAGCUGAGGCAAUGAACAGCUGUGAGCCCCCAUGCCCACAGGGAUAUGGAGCCUCCAAAGAGACAGAAGGAAACAGGCAGAUCUUCUGUGCUUAAAUUCUCCUAUGAAGGCUGAGGCCGGAUCUCUGGAUCUCCCCAGCCUCCAGAUCUCAGUGUGGCUCUCUCUGGAGACAAAAGCUAAGACUCAACCCACAGGCAACACUCAACACAGAGAUCCAGCUCAGAAAAAAAGGAGCUGACCAGGGAGGAAUGGAGAGGCCAAGACACAUAAUGAAGACUAAGAAAAGGAAGAAAGAUGAUGCUGGGGCUGGAGCCAAAGGGAGAGGAAGAGGAAAGGAAGGAAAGCCAGGGGCAGAGACCUGGCAGGGCAGCGUGAGCCCAACAACCACGGGGUGGGGGUGGGGCGCGCAUCAAGAUUUCUAACAAGCGCAGCUGAAAACACCCAGGGCCGUUCUCUGAGGCCUUCUCUCUGCCUACCAGCCCUCACCAGUGCUUCGAAGAGCCCUGAGGAACGUCUCUCUAUUUGAAGUCAGAGCCGAGUGCCUGCUCUCGGCACCUGGGGCUCCAUGCUUACCAGGAUGGUGGGUACUUGACCUUCAUUUGCUGUGGGACUGUCAGGGAUUCCAGGGACCCACUGGUCCCCGAACUGGCUCAGAGAUGCAAGCCAUUUUUACCUCCUACACAUCUAUAAUCCCCACCCCAUGGCUGACAAAUAUUCCCAGUCCACAGCUGUCUCCACCCACCCAGUGACAGAGCACAGGCAGCCAAAAGGAUCAAGCAAUCUCUUGCCACCUCCCAGCACCCCAGAAUGCUAAACAGACCCUCACAUCUGGACUCCACAUCCAGCGAGGAGUGCCCCUGCCCACCACCCAGAUCACACAGCUGCCAGUUACAGACCACCCUAUAGGUCCCACCACACGGCCAUAGCCCACCAGCAUCCCAGAGCUGCCUCUACACUAAAGCUCUGUCCCAGCCCAGCCAUCCUUCAAGCCACAUCUGGAAUAGCACACACCCUAUUCCACUAGCCAAAGCCCCCAGGGGUGUAAUUCAGAAGGAGGCAGACUGGGCCUGGGGCAUGUGGACAAGUCCCUGACACCACGCCCUGGCUUCUCCGGCUUGUCUGAAGAACCUGAACUGCCCUUAAGGCCUGCGCCUCCCAUCCCAGGGCAGCCCCCCCGCCAUACCUACACUCUUGGCCAUGGGAGAAUGUCCUCAUGUGCGGCUAAACAUCCUCCUCAUGCAGCCUUGAAUUCUGUUCCUUCCACGUCACCUCACCAGACCCAGGAUGAAAGCCGCUCACCUAGAGCAAAGCUUCUGCUUCCGAGGCAUUCAGGACUCCCCUCAGGGUGUGUGAGCACCCUGGGGCACAUGCCUGUUGCUUAUGUCUGGGUUACCUCUGUGACCCUGGGACCGCUCCACAUUGAAGGCCGUUGUGUCUUUUUGUGGAAGGAUGGAAGGACAGAAGGGAAGGAGAGACAAAGUGGUACCACAGCCCUGUUCUUGCCCUGGCACUUGGAGGGCACCAGAUACCCAGGGGACUGUAGCUGGCUGUGAGGACUCUAAGGCCAGGCCAGCAUACACAGUCCCCAAUAGUGAGUAGGAGCCCAGUCAGUCCACACCCCUUCCCAUCCACUCGAAAUGUAACUUAGCCCUCGGCUUCUCCUUACCUUUCAGGAGUUCUCUCCUUACCCCCAAAGACUUCCUGAGGACCCCCUAGGCCAGCCAGCCUAUCCCUCUCUCCCCUAACCCAGCAUCCUGCAGUCCCCUGGUUCAGAUUGGUGGUGUCUGUGCCUGAACCCCCACGAGCCUGAAAGCCCCUCAAAGGCCACAUGGGUCUCCCGCCUCUCUGCAUCUCCAGAUGGUGGCACGAGGCCUAGCACACAAGGAAUCCCAGAAAAUGUUGGCUGAAGGAAUAAAUGGAUGGAUCUAGGUUUAUGUGUCUGUUUGCUCACUUAUUUAUUCAUUCAGCUCAUGCUUGCUGAGCACUUACACUGUGCCAGGGACUGAGUAUAGACAGAUGUGUUAGACAAACAGAGAGGUCCCCUCACCCAGAGGCUUCUGAGAGCAGACAUUAACCAUAUAGAAUAUAAUCAGAUACGGUGAUAGUGCUCAGGAGGGAAAAGGAGGCAUCAUCCAGCCCAUGGGUCAAGAAAGGCCCUCAGAGUUGAGGAGCCUUAGAUGGGGAGCUGAGGAGGUAGAGAAGUGAAGCCAACCCAGAGUGGAGAGAAGGCCCUGCUGUGGGUGGGAGGAGAUUUGGAGGAAGGGCCAGAAGGGAGAGGAGGAGGGGGAGUCACACGGGAGCAUAGGCAGCAGAGGCCACCACAACCCCAGGGCUGGGAGGGGGUCUCUCACUCAUCCUGGGGCUCCAGCUCCCACAUAGAGCAUUGAGGAGGCCUCCAGACAUGUUUGGGGCAUCACUCACCUUCCAAGUGUGGCUAUAAAGGAAAGACAGAGCAGGUGAGGGCGAUGUUUAUUGUAGUUGUUGUUUCGUAACAAAACUAUACACCUAAAAGAGUAUGGCUUCCUUCAAAGAUGUCUCCUCAGGAGGCCGAACUUUUUCUUGAACCACCUGAUAUUUUGGCAACAGCCUUCAAGGCCAGUUUACAAACUCCAUCAGCAAAGCAUCUCUCUAGUGUAUAAUCAUCUCUAGUUUCUAUUGAAAAACCAACAAG